UACGAAGGGGGCUAGCGUUUUUCGGAAUUACUGGGCGUAAAGCGCGUGUAGGCGGGUCGUUAAGUCGGGGGUGAAAGCCCAGAGCUCAACUCUGGAACUGCCUUCGAUACUGGCGACCUGGACCCAAGGAGAGGCGAGUGGAAUUCCGAGUGUAGAGGUGAAAUUCGUAGAUAUUCGGAGGAACACCAGUGGCGAAGGCGACUCGCUGGACUUGUGGUGACGCUGAGACGCGAAAGCGUGGGGAGCAAACAGG
rnacentral:rRNA from 1 species